AAUCAACGCUGGCGGCGUGCCUAACACAUGCAAGUCGAACGCGAGAGGGGCUUCGGCCCUGAUUGAGUGGCAAACGGGUGAGUAACGCGUGGGUGACCUACCUUCGAGUGGGGGAUAACGUUCCGAAAGGGACGCUAAUACCGCAUAACAUCCUGUCUUUGGACAGAUGGAGAUCAAAGCCGGGGAUCGUAAGACCUGGCGC
rnacentral:rRNA from 1 species